rnacentral:lncRNA from 1 species
UCCAUAUUACCCUAAAAUGUGUAAAUAUUUUAACUUUUUUUGUUUUUUAUUGUUAUUUAGGGUAAAACUCUAUAACCAACACAGCUUGGCCUCUUAAUCUUCCUUCAGCACAUUGAUGCUAUGAAAAUCACAUUACUGUCAUCAGUGGAUUAAUAGAGCUGCUACCUAGACUGACAAGACGCAGUAAAAACGCCUGGCAAAUUGGAGCUGGGGUGAUAUGGAAUCCUACAAAGAAGAACCACAGAAAGCAUCAUUAGAAAGAAAGCCUAGCAAGUGAGAUAAAAUAACUGCAGCUAGAAAUGUUGGUAAUGGGAAGAAUACAAGCUUAAUAUCAAGUGGACCAAGAUUUGAAUCCCAAAGCUGACAUUUAUAAUUUGUUUCCUGGGCAAAGUUUUUACCCACUAAGUAGGAUGGUGACACCUCAGCCCUUCUGCGAGAAAAACAAGGGUGAUCCACAUCCCCCAUCCCUCAUCUUAAAGUCAGGUUCAUAACGGAUAAGGUCUCUGAAAGGCCAGCAGGAUGCUACCUCCUUAUCCCUGUCAGUGCCACACCCACUAGCAAUGGGCCUCUGAUCAGCCAAAUAACAAGCUGGAGGACUCAGGAGGCCCUUGCUUUGGUUCCUAUUGGAACAAUACAACAUAGAACAGGGCCAAGAAAAGGGCAAAGGAAAUACAAAAGGACGCCUGGAAGAUUUGCACAGGGCAAAGGAUGACUUGCUGAGUUAAUUUAAAGUGAUGUAAAUUGCUAAGACAACACUGCAAAGCAUUCAUAUCAUUUUUUUUUUCAAGGAAGAAAAUCUAAACAUUUUCCUCAGGAUCUUCAAUAAUAAAAAUCUAUUUAUCAAACAUGAACUUCUUUUUCUACCCUUUACCAGACUUCCCUACUUACUUGUCUAGAGCAGUUACUAAGAGAGAAAUAACCUGAUCCUUAGUAGUUCUUUCUUAUUACCUGGCAAUGAGGCCUUUCCCAGUGCCUCAAGAUUUGACCUUUGACUUCAUUUCCUAUUUAUCUCAUAAUGCCUGAGUUUUUAUGGCCUUCUCAACAUAAAACAUUUUCUUUGGUCACAUACAUUCCUUUCUUUUUUCUUAAGAUUAAAUAGGUUAUUUCUUAUAAUUACAUAGUGUAUGUUUACUAUAAAUAAUACCAAUUUUGAAAAAUGCUAAUAAAAUUACCUUUAGUCCACCAACCAGGGAAUAAUAACUCAUAACACAUUGCUGUAUAUCCAUCCAAUAUUUUUCAGUUCACAUAUGCAAGUGUGUGCACACACAGCCUUUCUUGUAAAAAUGGGAACGUUUACAAAAUAAUUUGCAUUAUUUCCUUUGAUAACUCACAGAAAUUCUUCCAUAUUUAGGUGGGUAGAUCUGCAUAAAAUUUAAUCAUUGAAACUUUUUAAAAUUAUGGAAACAUCAAGUAAUUUAUAAUAUUUGAUGAAUUCCAUAAUAUUGAACAUGUAGAUGAUUUCCAAUUUUGGGACGUUCUUUACAAUGAUAAAUAAUGUGACUAUAAACUAAUUGUAUAUAUGUUUUUUACUUAUCCUUGAUUUUCUUAGGUUAAUUUUCUAGAUUUAAAUGUCUUGCUGAAAAGUUUUAUUCACAGAAUUUCUUACAACCCUGAAAUUCUUUUUUGAAUGCCAGUUCUACGUGAUAUCUUCAAUUUGGCCCAGGUUUUAUUUUAUCUGCUGGACUGUUAAUUAUUAUUACAACAGAAAUAUUUCCACUGUAUAUUUAUUGGUCUUUUCAGGCUGAAAUUAAGGGAACUCUCCUGAGGCCAGUGUAAGUAAAAUGGGACCUGUAUUUAUGGUGCUGCAGAGGAGUUUCAUGAAAUCCAAAGUCAGAGUUUUAGUUUGGCCCCAAGAACAGCCUAGGCUGGAGACUAGAGAGCUAAAGGUAACCAAUAGAUAUUUUCCAUGCAUAUAUUUGUUCUCUCCUUCUGUGUAUAAGUUCAAUUAAUGCCAGUCUUUCUGAGUUUCCUAUUCCUUGUUUAAGUCAUUCUUUGUUUCAUUGAAAAAUUCCCUAGUCCAGUUCCUGCUUUCCUCAAGAAAGGAACUAAUUAACUGGACCAGUUUGGGUUUGAAGGUUCACUCCUGGUCUCUUCCAAACCAUGGGUAUAAUUUAAGCUAAAAAUGAAAAUAAAUAUGAGCAACAAAAGUUAAAGAAAUACUAGUAUGCCAAAGGAAAAUUUAACAACUCUUUAAAGACAUUUUGGGUCAUAAGGAAUCAAAUUGCUGACAAUCUGCAAAAUACAAUUCAUGAAGAACUUAUGGAUACAGCUAAAUCAGUGCUCACAGGAAAAAUCUAUCAUAAAUAAAUCUAUUGUUAUGAUAAUAAACAAAAAUAAUUAAAAUCUUUAAUCACUCAACACAAGAAAUUACAAAAUGUAAAAAAGGACAUUAGAAGGAAUAAAUUAAGGUUAAAAACAAUAGAAAUAGAAAUCAUAAAAACUGUAAAACUAUUACAUAGUUUCAAGAGUGCAUUGCAGAAUUAUAGAAAGCUUUUGCUUUAAAAUAAGGAAUAAGAAGUCCCUGUAUAUAUUACACACUGUAAGUUAAUUUAAUAUGGAGUCACAUUUUAAUGCAAUUAGGUAACAAAAAUAAUUUUUUAGAAAAGAUACUAUAUUGUUGAAGGCAAAAAUGCUAUGUGAGACUCAAUAAUUGAAGCCCAACCUGAUUCUCUGUCCCUAUGUUAAACAAUGCUGGGACCAAGCAAUAAUACCUUAUCUGCAUGCUUCAGAAUUACUGGCUCCUGAAAGAUAAGACUAGGAAAGACCUAAACAACUUAUUAUCAAGACUAACAGUUUGCUCCUGAAGACUCCCUUCAAGAUCGUCUCACAGCUAAGUUUAGCAAUCAAAGUAAACCCUGCCCAUUUCUAGCAUUUAUCUGCCUUAAAGUUACCCAGCCCAGACCCUGAACCUUCCUAAAUGUAUUUUCCUAUUUUUCCAACUUUGGGAGACUGCUAAGAAUUGUAUUGCAGUAUGUCUCAUACACAGUUUAGCUCCAUUAAUAGAUGUUUUCUGGUGGUCAUAUGUGAUAUAAUGGGCAGGCUUAACAAAAGACGAAAAUGCUAACUUGUGUUCUCUGUUUGCCACAAUGUCACUUUGGUUUUGUAGAGAUUAAGAAACUGAGCUGCGAGAGAUUAAAUAUUCUAUCAAGGUCAUUGCCCGCAAGCAGGGUAGGAGGAUUUAAAAAGGUCUGACACACACCUGAAAUUCUACUUGUUCCAUUACUACAUCCUGCCUGCAGUUGGCCAUCUCUAUUUCUGCAUUUUGCUGGAAAAUCCCACCUUGAGUCCUUUUAGCCUGUACUUUUCCUUCAAAUUAUCUCAAUGGCAGCACAUGAGAAAAGCCCUUGAAUUGCUCUUUUUAUUACUUCAGUUGCUAUAGAAAUUCUGUGUCCUACCUCUCAUCUUACCAGAAUGAUCAUCAAAGGAUCUGAAUGAUUGAAUUUGAGAAAUAAAAGUAAUGAUGGUUUCUCAUGUAUUAUUUUGUCUAUUUAUAUGUGCCUACUUGAACCUGAACAAGACUGAAGACAUUUAAUGCACGUUUGCAAAGGCUGUAGAGCGCAUCCAGUGGUUUUACAUGCAUUGUCUUAUUUGAAUUCGAUUUGAUUUGAUUCUAGUCUGAACUUAUUCUCAACAUGUUACCAUCCACACUUAUAAUAAAAACC